rnacentral:rRNA from 1 species
GGAUCGUAAACUCUGUUGUUAGGGAAGAACAAGUGUCUAGUAACUGAUGGCACCUUGACGGUACCUAACCAGAAAGCCACGGCUAACUACGUGCCAGCAGCCGCGGUAAUACGUAGGUGGCAAGCGUUGUCCGGAAUUAUUGGGCGUAAAGCGCUCGCAGGCGGUUCUUUAAGUCUGAUGUGAAAUCUUACGGCUUAACCGUAAACGUGCAUUGGAAACUGGGGAACUUGAGUGCAGAAGAGGAGAGUGGAAUUCCACGUGUAGCGGUGAAAUGCGUAGAGAUGUGGAGGAACACCAGUGGCGAAGGCGACUCUCUGGUCUGUAACUGACGCUGAGGAGCGAAAGCGUGGGGAGCGAACAGGAUUAGAUACCCUGGUAGUCCACGCCGUAAACGAUGAGUGCUAGGUGUUAGGGGGUUUCCCGCCCCUUAGUGCUGAAGUUAACGCAUUAAGCACUCCGCCUGUGGAGUACGGCCGCAAGGCUGACACUCAAAAGCAAUUGACGGGGGCCCGCACAAACGGUGGAGCAUGUGGUAUAAAUCCGAAGCCAACGCGAAGAACCUUACCAGCG